rnacentral:lncRNA from 1 species
AAUUUUUUCGUUAACACGAUGGAGCUGCCAAGUGUCCAGUUACAGGCCUAAGCUAACGAGCCGAAUCCACCGGUGAUUGGACCACCUUCUUUCUCACCACUCGCAUUAGUUGAAAACAAUUUUGUCGGCAACAAAACAAUCAACUCCAUACUACACGUCGUUUUGUGACCUCGUCCCCUCUUGAUGCAGCUGCUUACUCCACCGGCACCAGCGCCACCUCAUCGGCAUCGGCACAGUUUUAUAUGCAUCGAUUGCUUUUCC